AUUGAACGCUGGCGGCAUGCUUUACACAUGCAAGUCGGACGAGUGGCGAACGGGUGAGUAAAGCAUCGGAAAGGACCGAGUGAAGGGGGAUAACUGUCCGAAAGGAUAGCUAAUACCGCAUACGAGUAGAGCGGCCGAAGUCUGAUGAGCUGGUUGGCGGGGUAAAGGCCCACCAAGGCGAAGAUCAGUAGCGGGUCUGAGAGGAUGAUCCGCCACACUGUGACUGAGACACGGCCCAGACUCCUACGGGAGGCAGCAGUGGGGAAUUUUGGACAAUGGGCGCAAGCCUGAUCCAGCCAUGCCGCGUGUGUGAAGAAGGUCUUCGGAUUGUAAAGCACUUUAAGUUGGGAGGCGUUACCAACAGAAUAAGCACCGGCUAACUUCGUGCCAGCAGCCGCGGUAAUUC
rnacentral:rRNA from 1 species